UUAAAUUCAUUCACCUCAGCAGUAUUAGUUUCCUUAACAUUAUUAUGUUUUGUUACUUUGACCAACAGUUGGUUUUAUGUGCAUAAUAGCAAUUUGUACAUGUCUGUAGUUCCUAGUGCUUAUGGCCCCUUCUGCAUACAGUAUUUUGUUUAUUUUUUUUACUUGAAUAAAUGGCAGAUUUAAGCCUCACCAUAACAAUUUUUUUUUGAACUUCGAUUGGUAUUGAUCAAAAACUUUUCAGUAUUUUCUACGCAUGAUGCCAAAGUAACAUAUUAAAUCCGCACCGACACUUGGACAUAACUACUAAUUUUGGAAUUUUCUAGUAAUAAUCUCCACAUAUUCGUUAGUAUUAUAAUUAACAGGAUUGGUUGGUUCCCUAUGUGUGACACAUGCAAUGCAACUUGAAUUGGCUCAAAACUGGGGAAUUAAGUAAGAGGGGCUGCUCGAUAAUACAAACUAUACUGCAUUUUGCCUAUUCACAUUUUUAGUCCUCUGUUAUAAUUUAAUAAUUUGGUCCUCAUUGCGGUUCUAAAUUUUAGAGCAAAGUAGGCAGCAACACCUGAAGCAAGCCCUCAAACUAUAGAGCCUUUCAAAGUAGGCAGCAAAGCCGAAACAGACCCCCAGUCUCUAGAAUCAGCACCAAUAACCAAACCAAGCCUUUCAAAGCAGCACCAACUAGCCAAACCAGGAGCAACACCUGAAGCAAGCCCUCAAACUGCAAUCAACUCAUAUAGAGAAACAAUAGCAGCAAAAACCUGUAGCAAUACCACAUAGUCCUUGCAUCUACAACCGAGUA
rnacentral:lncRNA from 1 species